AUUCAAUGACUAGUUGUUUUAUUAUCCAUUCUUGUGCGACCAGAGUGGGGACAGGAUUGUUGUAAAGGUGAGGAUCUCUAACUCAUCGGCCGCUCGCUUAUACUUUGAUCACUUCAUUUUCAGGCUGCCAAACAACGAGCCUUUUUUGGAAGCAAAGGCUACGGUUGUUUGGCUAGACAAGAACUAUCGUCCUAUCCGUAUACCACCAGAAAUUAGAUCUAAGUUUGUCCAAUUCGUUCGUCAUGAGGAGGCCAACUGAUGUGCAGAAGAAGUGGCGAUAGAGUACUUGGUUAAAGACCCCUCCCUUUUGCUGAGACCCCUCGUUUGAGCUCAAAAUAUGAAGACAGACAGGGAAAGGGAAAGAAAAAUGCUACGAAAAUUACUUUCAGGAUAGACAUCCACGAGGAAGAAUUUUUGCACAUGUCAAUUCAGCUCUUUCCUUCCACACGAGCAGCUCAUAGAGUUCAAUUAUGUUCG